rnacentral:rRNA from 1 species
GAUCCUGGCUCAGAGUGAACGCUGGCGGCGUGCCUAAUACAUGCAAGUCGAACGGACAAGUAAGAGCUUGCUCUUAUGAGUUAGUGGCGCACGGGUGAGUAAUGUAUAGCUAAUCUGCCCUACACUAGAGGACAACAGUUGGAAACGACUGCUAAUACUCUAUACUCCUAUCUGACAUAAGUUAGAUAGGGAAAGUUUUUCGGUGUAGGAUGAGGCUAUAUUGUAUCAG